UUUCUUCCACAACAACUUGGUGCCAACCUGGACACUCGGCUCCAGCCUCAAACCUGGAUUAGGAUUAAAGAGAGACGAGGGCUGCUGGUCGGCUCCACGGCUCCAACGCUGAGAUCAACAAACUCAAUCCACUGAUAUCUGGUGGUUCAUUGAAGCUGAUCGUUCUGAAAGGAAGAGAAAGAGAAUUAGAAGCAGAGGAAGUGAACUGAGGCAAAGAAAUCAGAAACAAAGAGUUUAGUUCAUCUGGAGAAACACGAGGAAAGUUUGGAUGAAAGAGAGAGAACGAAGAGAAAGACAGAAAAAUGAUAAACAAAUGGAAAUGCUUCUAUUACUGAACAUAAAUCUUUUGUCAAUAAAUUACAGGCCUUAAUAUGUUUUAUGUUUUUGUGUGUUUGAAUAAGCAAAUGAUUUUAUUCCUUAAAAGGAUGAAUAAUAAGUGACUAAAACAAAAUAAACCAAAUCGAUUUCUA